UCUCUCAGGAUGGCGAGCAGCAGCGGCUCCAAGGCCGAAUUCAUUGUCGGAGGGAAAUACAAACUGGUACGGAAGAUCGGGUCUGGCUCCUUCGGGGACAUUUAUCUGGCGAUCAACAUUACCAACGGCGAGGAAGUGGCAGUGAAGCUAGAAUCUCAGAAGGCCAGGCAUCCCCAGUUGCUGUACGAGAGCAAACUCUAUAAGAUCCUUCAAGGUGGGGUGGGCAUCCCCCACAUACGGUGGUAUGGUCAGGAAAAAGACUACAAUGUGCUAGUCAUGGAUCUUCUCGGACCCAGCCUCGAAGACCUCUUCAAUUUCUGUUCAAGAAGGUUCACAAUGAAAACUGUACUUAUGUUAGCUGACCAGAUGAUCAGUAGAAUUGAAUAUGUGCAUACAAAGAAUUUUAUACACAGAGACAUUAAACCAGAUAACUUCCUAAUGGGUAUUGGGCGUCACUGUAAUAAGUGUUUAGAAUCUCCAGUGGGGAAGAGGAAAAGAAGCAUGACUGUUAGUACUUCUCAGGACCCAUCUUUCUCAGGAUUAAACCAGUUAUUCCUUAUUGAUUUUGGUUUGGCCAAAAAGUACAGAGACAACAGGACAAGGCAACACAUACCAUACAGAGAAGAUAAAAAUCUCACUGGCACCGCCCGAUAUGCUAGCAUCAAUGCACAUCUCGGUAUUGAACAGAGUCGCCGAGAUGACAUGGAAUCAUUAGGAUAUGUUUUGAUGUAUUUUAAUAGAACCAGCCUGCCCUGGCAAGGACUAAAGGCUGCGACAAAAAAGCAAAAAUAUGAAAAGAUAAGUGAAAAGAAGAUGUCUACUCCUGUUGAAGUUUUAUGUAAGGGGUUUCCUGCAGAAUUUGCCAUGUACUUAAACUAUUGUCGUGGGCUGCGCUUUGAGGAAGCCCCGGAUUACAUGUAUCUGAGGCAGCUAUUCCGCAUUCUUUUCAGGACUCUGAACCACCAGUAUGACUACACAUUUGAUUGGACAAUGUUAAAGCAGAAAGCAGCACAGCAGGCAGCCUCUUCAAGUGGGCAGGGUCAGCAGGCCCAAACCCCCACAGGUCUUAAAGAUGAGAAGUUGGAUCCAGUGAGUUAGUAUGUUUCCUUGGAAAAAAAAUUGUAAUUAAACUUAAGUUUAAUCCUUAAUUUUGUAUUGUAACUAUUUUUCAUAAAAGCAACUUUAAAUAUCUUACACAGUUUGCGGGGCACUUGGCUGGGUCAGUAGAGCCUAUGGCUCUUGAUCUCAGGGCCUGAGUUUUAGCCCCACUUUGGGGGUAGAGUUUACCUAAAAAAAAUAAAAAAUCUUACAAAAUUUUCACGGCAAUCAUAGACACAGGGUUUAUAUAAAUUACUACAUAAACAUCAACUUGUAAAAUAUUGAAAAAUUGGAUUUUUCAUAAAAUGCAUCAUUUACCAUUGACUGCUUUCAGAGAGACAUUUUCAGGUGGUAUAUUUUGAUUCCAAGCAAAAUACUGCUUGCUACUAAAAUAUGCCAGGCCCCGGAAUACAAACAACAAAAUUGUGUUUGAUCUUUGGCUUCUCGAAACGUUUGUUUUGUCUUGGAUCUAGAACUUAGUGCCCCAGGCAGAUCUCAUGUGAAAUCCCCUCAGUAUAAAGCCAUGAAUGUGUACGGCAGGUUUGAAGGUGGCAUGAAAUAAGUUUGGGGAGCCUACUUCCCUAACCCCAGCCGUGUUUAUCCAGACCAUCUAUUGAGAAAUCUCCUAUGAAGUCUGGAGUUUGAAGACAGUCCCUUUUAGGUGACUUACUCCUUAUUUCAAUCUCUGUGUAAUAAGGGUGUUUAAAAGCAUGUUAUUCUCUUAGGGUCCACUACAGUCAUUUUUUUUAUUCAAGGAAGAGCUCUCCUGCAGCUCAACUCUUCACUAAUUCCAAGAAAUCCUUUCAGUGACGAUAACAUCAUAUAAUACAUUUUUCUGGUUAAAACUUUAGAAGGCACUUACCUAAUACAUCCUAUCAGUUUUUGUUCACGGAAUUAUACGCUGAGGUUUUCCAAAGCAGAGAAUUUGGUUUCUUAAAUGUAUCUUCAGCACAUGAAACUGUAUACUGCAGGGAUAUCUAUUCCUGGAAAAAUCCCCCGAACUGGUUGACAUAUUAAUAUAUUUUACGUUAUUAGUUUUAGUUUUUGAAAAUUGUAUAUGGGAUGUUUCUUCCAUGGAAAGGUGUGUGUGUAAUAAGUUGUUUCAGCAGUUCACUGUGAAUGUCCAAAAAGUCUUUUAAAGUCUGACUUACUCAGCUAAGAUGGGUUUAUUAUGUGUAAUAGACUUCUAUCCUAAUUACUUUUCUAAAGAAAAGAUCUUUUGAAGUACUCCUUUCCAAGGCCCAUCAAAAGACUAAGAAAUAAGGCGUUUCUCGUUUUUUGUAAAGCCCACUAUGAUGUGUACUAAUUUUCGGUGCUCUUAUGCCACAAGAUUAUAAUUAGUUUUUAUACAUGUUAAAGAGAAAAAUAAAAGAUUCACAUCUGAGACACUUCCAAAUUCAUUUCGCUUCCUUUUAUUCAACUGUAUGUGAUUAUCAGGAAAGUAGUUUUUAAGACAUUUAAGAAUUACUGAAGGGAAAAGGAAAUCUUUUUAGGACAUUCAUAAUCCAGUUAAGUUCACCAUUUCUUUAGUUGAGGUCAGAGAUGGGGAGAAUUUCAGAAGGUAGUGAAGCCAAAGUUGGAUCCUUACAUAAUUCUAUUAUCAUCUUAGUCCCUCUGUUCACUACUCCAAGCCGUUGAUAUUAAGCAUAGUUUUAUCAUAAUCACAUACGUGGAUGUCAGAUUGUUGACAGUCAAAAAAUAGAAAAUUUUUCUAUCACAUUCUCCUACCAUGUCCAUGGUCUUCCUUGAAUUACCUUCCAGUGUUUACUGGAAUUCACCUACCAUUUAUGUCUAGCUUAACUUUUUCUGACUUCACCAAUUGCUGCUAGGAACGUGGCUGGUCACUCAGCAACGUAACCCAAAUCACAGGGGAAGACCUUGAAAUAAUCUGGAGACUGAUCUUCUCUGAAUACACUCAAUCUAAAGAAGUGCCAGGGAGCUGCAUCUGCUUGCUGAAAUUUUUGUCAGCUUUUUUCAUUGUGGACACUACCACUGGAGAGAAAAGAGCUCAGUAACCCAACAGGAAACGAAGACGAGUGUGCAAGAAUUGAUUUGUGGUCAUCUGAAUGAAUCUCACAUCUCCAAGGCUGGCUGGACUUACCAAACAUGAACUUGUCCGAAAAUCUGGACGAUACCACAACAGUCUGAAGACCUAGAGGAGUACAGUGUUGCUGUGACUCAGUGGUGUAUAAUGCAGACCAUCUACCAGUUGGGGAAGGAAUCAAUUGUAACAGGAGCAAAAGGAUCCCUUCCUUAUUUUAACUGUUGUUGCAGUGAAGAUGGGUGUUUGGACUUUUAGAAGCCAGGAGACACCACCUAAAUUACAAGAUAAAAACCAAGGAAUCAAUGCACACUGGAAAAAGGAAUGCACUUGAAGAUUGAAUGUUGAAUACUUGCUGAAUGCUCCCAUUGAGAUUUUUCCUACAUAAACUUGAGUAACAUCUUAGGACAAUUCUCUGGAGAAACAUUGAUCCCUGGGUGGAGUAUCCUACCAUUGGCCGAUCUGAAGAGUUACAUCUGGAUCUGACUGCUCUAUUCCUCCAGGAAUAUUUUUAGGCUAGCCUCUGUCUGAUUCCUAAGCAAUUGUAAUCAUUAACUGACCCAGUAAUUUUUCAAAUAUCAGAUGAACAGAUACAAUUCUUACCUAGAUCUAAUUUUUAUCCCUAUUAAAGACACAAGAGUAUUCUAAUAUUU